AAAUUUACUUGCCUAGUGCACAAUUUAUGUUUGAAGUUGCUGUGGUGUAGUGGUUAUCACGUUAGUCUUACACACUAAAGGUCCCCAGUUCGAUCCUGGGCAGCAACAGAUUUGGUAUUUUAUUU